rnacentral:misc_RNA from 1 species
AAUUUUUGCACGGGUUGUACAGGAAGCUUCGAAAAGGAGAAUUCAAGUUCAUCAAGAUUCUGUACUUCCACACGAAGGUGUCCUUCAGUUGGUCCAUGUUCGUAGUCGCUCCGUUUAUAGCAGGGCAUCAAGUAAGUCGAUGACGAUGGUGACUGCAUUUCGCUUUCUAUGUCUGAUACAUCAGAGUAGGUUCUCCUAGAAGCAGGCGAUGAUUUUUCAGGGAUUCCGUGGGUUUUGAUAUGUUGGAAGGCGGGGUGAAUGGGGGAGGCAUUUGGCGAUGAUCCUGCGGUUCUGACGGAGGCCUGGG